rnacentral:rRNA from 1 species
AACGAACGCUGGCGGCAUGCCUAACACAUGCAAGUCGAACGAGACCUUCGGGUCUAGUGGCGCACGGGUGCGUAACGCGUGGGAACCUGCCCUUAGGUUCGGAAUAACUCCCCGAAAGGGGUGCUAAUACCGGAUAAUGUCUUCGGACCAAAGAUUUAUCGCCUUUGGAUGGGCCCGCGUUGGAUUAGCUAGUUGGUAGGGUAAAAGCCUACCAAGGCGACGAUCCAUAGCUGGUCUGAGAGGAUGAUCAGCCACACUGGGACUGAGACACGGCCCAGACUCCUACGGGAGGCAGCAGUGGGGAAUAUUGGACGAUGAGCGAAAGCCUGAUCAAGCAAUGCCGCGUGAGUGAUGAAGGCCUUAGGGUUGUAAAGCUCUUUUACCCGGGAUGAUAAUGACAGUACCGGGAGAAUAAGCACCGGCUAACUCCGUG